rnacentral:misc_RNA from 1 species
GAUGAAGAACGUAGCGAAAUGCGAUAAGUAGUGUGAAUUGCAGAAUUCAGUGAAUCAUCGAAUCUUUGAACGCACAUUGCGCCCCUUGGUAUUCCAUGGGGCAUGCCUGUUCGAGCGUUAUUUGUACCCUCAAGCUAAGCUUGGUGUUGGGUGUUUGUCCACUCCCUCGUGUUUGGACUCGCCUUAAAACAAUUGGCAGCCAGUGUUUUGGUAUUGAAGCGCAGCACAAUUUGCGAUUCUAGCCUAGAAUACUAGCAUCCAUCAAGUCAUUUUUAACGCUUGACCUCGGAUCAGGUAGGGAUACCCGCUGAACUUAAGCAUAUCAAUAAGCGGAGGA